AGCAGAGCAGGGGGUGGGGGGGAGCUGAGGGACCCCGAAGUGGACACGUUGUCAAAGUCGGCCUGCGUGGCAGGCCAGCGGCGGCCACAGCCCAUUUGCAGCUCUGGAGAAGGACGCUGAAAGUUGACGACGAGCGCCCCCCUCUCUGGCUCGUCCAAGCAGGAGGGCAGAGGCAAAAUGUCCUCAUGGAACUGGAGCACUCAGAGCCUGCUCAGGUGUCCAGAACUGUUGCAAGGUCACCACCUCCUGGCAGCCCUCCCGGAUGGCCCCAGCAAUAGGUGACCUCCAGAUCCCGGUUUGUGUUUCUGCCACACUUACCAUGAUGUAGCUUCCUUUCAGCAGAGCCACGUGUCUUUGUGCAUUUGACCUCCUCUUGUUCCGCUGGCUACAAGCCCUCCUGAGGUCAAGAUCCUGGGUCCAUCACCUUCAUGUUUCGUGUAGUGCCUGACUCAGAGCUGAUGUGCAUUUACUGGAUGAAUGAGUGCGUGAGUGAUUGAAAGAAGGAA